rnacentral:rRNA from 1 species
UACGUAGGUGGCAAGCGUUGUCCGGAAUUAUUGGGCGUAAAGCGCGCGCAGACGGUCCUUUAAGUCUGAUGUGAAAGCCCACGGCUCAACCGUGGAAGGUCAUUGGAAACUGGAGGACUUGAGUACAGAAGAGGAAAGUGGAAUUCCACGUGUAGCGGUGAAAUGCGUAGAGAUGUGGAGGAACACCAGUGGCGAAGGCGACUUUCUGGUCUGUAACUGACGUUGAGGCGCGAAAGCGUGGGGAGCAAACGGG